AAUCACUUGUCCUUUAAAUGAAGACCUGUAUGAAUGGCGUCACGAAAGCUUAACUGUCUCCCUCCCCCAGUCAAUGAAAUUGAUCUCCCCGUGCAGAAGCGGGGAUAAACACAUAAGACGAGAAGACCCUGUGGAGCUUCAGACACUAAGACCAGCCCAUAUAAAUACCUAACUAUAAAUUAAGUGUAUAAAUUGUAUAGCCCCUGGACGGAUGUCUUCGGUUGGGGCGACCAUGGGGUAAUAAAAAACCCCCAAGAGGACAGAAGCACUACCCAUGUAACACAGCUUCCGUAAAAAAGGUUGACAAACCUAAUUCACAGAACCUCUGACCCAAUCAGAUCCGAUGCAAAUCGAUCAACGAACCAAGUUACCCCAGGGAUAACAGCGCAAUCCUCUUCAAGAGCCCAUAUCGACAAGGGGGUUUACGACCUCGAUGUUGGAUCAGGACAUCCUAAUGGUGCAGCCGCUAUUAAGGGUUCGUUUGUUCAACGAUUAA
rnacentral:rRNA from 1 species